rnacentral:rRNA from 1 species
UACAGAGGGUGCAAGCGUUAAUCGGAAUUACUGGGCGUAAAGCGCGCGUAGGCGGUUCGAUAAGUCGGAUGUGAAAGCCCUGGGCUCAACCUGGGAAUGCCAUUCGAUACUGUCGAGCUAGAGUAUGGUAGAGGAAAGCGGAAUUCCACAUGUAGCGGUGAAAUGCGUAGAUAUUAGGAAGAACACCAGUGGCGAAGGCGGCUCACUGGUCCGGUACUGACGCUGAGGUGCGAAAGCGUGGGGAGCAAACAGG